UUGGAGAGGAGAAAUGUAGGCCGCCCAGGAUUCUUCUUCUUCCCGGCGCGGCUGGAUCGAUCUCGAGGAGCUGUUGGGCGCUUCAGAACCAGGCGCAGCGGAAGCUGAGCAAUGGCUACGCAGGUUUUAUGUCGUGGCUCGCGAGCCGGAACGAUGAUGGCGAUCCAUCGGCGGUGCGCAUUGGGACUUCGCGAGAAUCUGGCGGGCAGGGGAUAAUGUUGGUUCUUGUUUACGUCCAGAUGAUAGCUCCUAGCGAUCUUCCUGACCAGCUCAGCACGGUUUUGCCCAGCACUGUUAAGCCGUGGACCAAACUUGCUCUUAUUGUCCUCAUGGAACGCUACAAAGGCC